GACGUAGGGCGCGAGCGUUGUCCGGAUUUAUUGGGCGUAAAGAGCUCGUAGGCGGCUUGUUGCGUCGACCGUGAAAACCCGGGGCUCAACUUCGGGCUUGCGGUCGAUACGGGCGGGCUAGAGUUCGGUAGGGGAGACUGGAAUUCCUGGUGUAGCGGUGAAAUGCGCAGAUAUCAGGAGGAACACCUAUGGCGAAGGCAGCUCUCUGGGACGGUACUGACGCUGAGACGCGAAAGCGUGGGGAGCGAACAGG
rnacentral:rRNA from 1 species